rnacentral:rRNA from 1 species
AGCCUAACACAUGCAAGUCGAACGGCAGCACAGGAGAGCUUGCUCUCUGGGUGGCGAGUGGCGGACGGGUGAGGAAUACAUCGGAAUCUACUUUUUCGUGGGGGAUAACGUAGGGAAACUUACUGCUAAUACCGCAUACGACCUACGGGUGAAAGCAGGGGAUCUUCGUGACCUUGCGCGAUUGAAUGAGCCGAUGUCGGAUUAGCUAGUUGGCGGGGUAAAGGGCCCACCAAGGCGACGAUCCGUA